ACUUGGAAGAGUAAACCUCUGGUCCCGGUUACCAACCCAGAUUCAAUCUUGCAACAUUAUCCUGAGACACAUAUCCCAAGCCUUCAUUUGUGAUAAAUUUCUCCUUCCUUAUCUGGGAAAGGUGAAAACACUUCAAUGAGUUCAAGCUUCUGCCUUUGGACAAUUUGGAGUAAAUAAUGAAAGCCCAAUCCAUCUUUUCAUGACAAAUAGGGAAUCCUGCAAAGAAAGAUCCCCUGAAAGCCAGGGAUUCCCAGGGGUCUCCAGACAAUACUUUGAGAACCACUGCUGUAAUGUAUCAGUGUGGAUAAUAAGCCAUACAUAUGGUCAAUCGGAAUUAAGUAUGGCUUUUACUUGGCUUUUUAAGAGCAGUCUGC